AUUGAACGCUGGCGGCAUGCCUUACACAUGCAAAUCGAACGGUAACGGGCCUUCGGGUGCCGACGAGUGGCGCACGGGUGAGUAAUACAUCGGAACGUGCCCGAUCGUGGGGGAUAACGAGGCGAAAGCUUUGCUAAUACCGCAUACGAUCUACGGAUGAAAGCAGGGGACCGCAAGGCCUUGCGCGGACGGAGCGGCCGAUGGCAGAUUAGGUAGUUGGUGGGAUAAAAGCUUACCAAGCCGACGAUCUGUAGCUGGUCUGAGAGGAUGAUCAGCCACACUGGGACUAAGACACGGCCCAGACUCCUACGGGAGGCAGCAGUGGGGAAUUUUGGACAAUGGGCGCAAGCCUGAUCCAGCCAUGCCGCGUGCAGGAUGAAGGCCUUCGGGUUGUAAACUGCUUUUGUACGGAACGAAAAGCCUUCUUUUAAUACAGGAGGGUCAUGACGGUACCGUAAGAAUAAGCACCGGCUAACUACGUG
rnacentral:rRNA from 1 species